CCAACACCUGGAAUCAUGGUCC
rnacentral:siRNA from 1 species